rnacentral:rRNA from 1 species
GUAGUCUCGCACAGAUGCAUAUCAAUAAGCGGAGGAAAAGAAACUAACAAGGAUUCCCCUAGUAACGGCGAGUGAAGCGGGAAGAGCUCAAAUUUGAAAUCUUAAAGGGUUUCCCUUUACGAAUUGUAGUUUAAAGAAGUGUUUUCUGUUGAGGUUUUGGUAAAAGUUUUUUGGAAUAGGACAUCAUAGAGGGUGAGAAUCCCGUAUUUGACCCUUACUUUCAACUUUGUGAUACACUUUCAAAGAGUCGGAUUGUUUGGGAAUGCAGUCCAAAAUGGGUGGUAAAUUUCAUCUAAAGCUAAAUAUUGGCGAGAGACCGAUAGCGAACAAGUACCGUGAGGGAAAGAUGAAAAGAACUUUGAAGAGAGAGUUAAACAGUACGUGAAAUUGUCAAAAGGGAAGCGUUUGACACCAGUGUUGUUUUUCUGAAAAUCAAUUAAAGAACUGUUUAUGCUAAGCUGUUUAGACUUUAUCAGCUAACUGUUUAGUUUUGAGCUUUUCUUUAAUGCACUUUUCAGUUAACAAGUCAACAUCAAUUUCUUUUGCUGUAAAAAAGCUUGAGGAAGGUGGCUUGAGAUUCGUCUUAAGUGUUUAUAGCCUCUUGCCUAUGCAGUCGGAGAGAUUGAGGUCUGCAGCGUAGAUCCUUCGGGGCUAAAUGCAUUUGUGCUAAGUUAUAGCAUUUUAUAGACAACUUGUUGACUAUGAUUUGUCUUGUAGCUUACUCGCUUAUGUUAUUUUACCUACGCUUAGGAUGUUGAAGACUCUACAGAGAUA